GCCGCCCCCGUAGCCUCCACCAGUUUCAUAAAGAGCUCCUGCAAAUCCACCACUUUCCCCGAAGUAUGCAUCGCUUCCCUUUCCGGUUACGCAUCGGCAAUAAAGAACAGCCAAGAACAGCUAGUGAAAACUGCCUUGUCCGUAAGCCUAAACAAAGCCGAAACUACAAAGGAAUUUGUUAGCAAGCUGUUGAAAUUCAAGGGAUUAAAGCCUAGAGAGUAUGCAGCUAUAAAGGAUUGCGUAGAGGAGACAAGUGACAGUGUAGAUCGGCUUACCAAAUCUGUGAAUGAACUCAAAAGAAUGGACCGUAGCCAUGGGAAGGAUUUCCAGUGGCACAUGAGCAAUGUGGAGACAUGGGUAAGUGCUGCAAUUACUGACGAGAAUACUUGUACUGAUGGAUUUGCUGGUAAGGCUUUGAGUGGGAG
rnacentral:lncRNA from 1 species